CUACGGGAUGCUGCAGUGGGGAAUAUUGCACAAUGGGGGAAACCCUGAUGCAGCAACGCCGCGUGGAGGAUGACGCAUUUCGGUGUGUAAACUCCUUUUAUAUCCCAAGAUAAUGACGGUAGGAUAUGAAUAAGCACCGGCUAACUCCGUGCUAGCAGCCGCGGUAAUACGGAGGGUGCAAGCGUUACUCGGAAUCACUGGGCGUAAAGGGCGCGUAGGCGGGUUGUCAAGUCUUGAGUGAAGUCCAACGGCUCAACCGUUGAACUGCUUGAGAAACUGGCAGCCUAGAGUAAGGGAGAGGUAGAUGGAAUUGGUGGUGUAGGGGUAAAAUCCGUAGAGAUCACCAGGAAUACCCAUUGCGAAGGCGAUCUGCUGGAACUUUACUGACGCUGAGGCGCGAAAGCGUGGGGAGCAAACAGGAUUAGAUACCCGGGUAGUC
rnacentral:rRNA from 1 species